AAAUUAAAAAUAAAAGGAGUUAUUUUUAUUAACUAGGGCAUUGAGAUGUGUGGAACUAUUCAUCUUCCUCAUAAACCCUAAUCUCAACCCCAAAUCAACCGCCAUUCGACCAGUCCAUCGACCGCCACAAGGAGCACCGAGCUGACAGCCAUCCCUUCAGCCACAACCUCCUUUGCGUUGAUCCUCUCGUGUGCUGACCCGAACGUGCAUCGUCCACCGAAGCCCAACCUGUCUUCGUCUCCUUCCGUCUCUGUCUCCGUCUCAGUCCCCGAGUAGUUUCCUUCGUCGUCAGUCGUCACAGCUUGUUGUCAUCCGUUGCUUCCUCGUCAGCCGUCGUAGCUGGUUGCCUCCCACCGCAUCGGUCCGUCAGCAAGCAACCCCCAAUCGUUCGAGCUGUGCUUGUGAGUGUGAGCCGCGCCCCCAGCUGAUUGAGCCGUCUUCACGCGCCUUAGCCAAACCCCAGCAUUCGAGUCGCGCGCACAAGCCAACCCUAGUGUCUGAGCUGUGCGUGAGCCACCCUUGUUUCCAUCCCGUACCCGAGCCGUUUUCUGCCUCUAGCUGAGCCAAGCGCCUUUGACUAAGCCAUUUGAGCCACCUAGUCUACUUUUGGUCCUUUUCACCUAUAUUUUUGAUCAAUUGGGAGUUGUACAGUAGAAUUUUUCCUAAAUCAAGAAUAAAGUUGAGUUCAUCUUCAACUUUGGACUUGACUGUUGGGAAGCUCGACUGUGACUGUUAAGAUAAUUUGGGUUGAGCUAAUCUCUAGGCAGAGGUAGAGGUAAGGGCAGAGGGAAGCUGACGAAAUGACAAGAAUAGACCGUGGCGAGCCAUAGGGAUCUUUUUGCUUCCGCCUUACAUCAUUGAUCAGAUACACAUUUUAUUUUAUUUUAUUUAUUUGUCUCUUUAAAACUAGAUAGGACCCAAGUUAGGAUUUUAUUUAAAAAUUUUCUUUACAUACGUUUGUUUGUGCUUUAAUGAGUAUUUGAGGUUUUGUUUUAUUUUCUAUUUUUAAAUUUAAGAAAUUUUACUUAUCUUUUAAUUAGUAAUGAUUUUGGCUUAGUAUAAGGAGUUAGGUCGUUACAGAAUUUACAAAUACAAUAUAUUCGAGAUAUUUGAUAUUUUGUUUGAUUUUUUAAUCUCAACAAAUACGCUGUAUUUGUAUAUGGGUAAUUUCCCUUCGUGGAGGGGUAAAUUAAGGUAAAAAAAUUUGGAAAAAUUCAUCUAGCAGGUAAUUUUUCCAUAUAUCAAAAUAAGUUUGGAAU